rnacentral:misc_RNA from 1 species
AAAUAAUAUAGUGAUUGACUUUACUUAACAGUGAGCAAAGACAAUUAAGUAUGAAUCCCGGCCUUCUUAGAAAGGGCUAGCUUCUGAGAAGAGUGAUUUAACAUACCACUUGCUCUAUCACUAUCCAAUUGAUGUGAAACUCUUGGAGUGCUCUUCAUUGUUUCUUAAUCGUUUUUAUACUAUUUUGUUUGGCUUUUACCUGAAGCUUUUUGAAUGUAUUGUGGUACCAUUUUUGAGCAGUGGUUUGCAUUUAUUUUAAUUUUUAAUGAUUGUGCACUUAAUAAUUUAAUUAAUCGUGUAUGACAGUUGAUUACUAAAUCUGAAAGCCUUUGCCUGUAACAGUUUU